GAUUACUCUAAUUAGUUUCACCUGUGUCCUGUGUUGAUUACCCUGUGUGUAUUUGGUUGCUCUGUUUCCCCUCUCCUUCUGUCGGAUCAUUUAAUCUUGCUUCUGAGUUUUUCCCUGCAUCUUCCUCUUGCUCCCUGUGGUGGUUUUUAUGUUUUCAUUUGGACCUUUUUGGAUUUUGUUACUGGACAUUUUAUGAAGUGCUCCUCUGGCUCUGGAUUCCUGCUGCUGAAUUAAACUUGUUGAGUUUUCACAUACCGCUUAAGGCCUACUGCUGGAUUAACUCCAUGAGCAGUCCAAUAUGAACUCCUCCAUUAGCCUCCCUCAUGGUUUCUGCUCCCACCAGGCUGGACGCAAUUGUUGUGUGCCCCCUCUCCAUCUCAGCGUGACCCCAAGGUCAGCCUGUAAUGCUGCAGCAACAUUGAACAGGCUGAAAAGAAGCUCCAGCUUUGAUUCCCCUGGUGAUCAGUUUGGGUAAACUUGAUGGAUGAGUUUCAGAUUAAAGAAACAAGCUGUCGGUAUUGUAAGGUGGUGAAGCUACAGUGUGUGUAAUGCUCCACUAUCACAACUUGCCUGUGUGUGCGUAGACACAAAUACAUUUCAACUCACAUACACCUACUGUACCUUUACAUGCAAAAGAGAAACACUUCACAUGGCACAAGGAACUAAAGUCUUUCAAACAUGCAUUUCACUUUAGAAAAUUCUCCAUCAUAGUCUAGGUGUCUGUGUGAACAUAAAUGUCUGGAUAAUGAUGUUCACACUGACUUCAUGCGGCCUAUUUGCUGCCAGCCCCUUGAUUAAACUGCAUUUGUAAAGUCA